rnacentral:rRNA from 1 species
UACAGAGGUCUCAAGCGUUGUUCGGAUUCAUUGGGCGUAAAGGGUGCGUAGGCGGCGCGGUAAGUCGGGUGUGAAAUCUUGGAGCUUAACUCCGAAACUGCAUUCGAUACUGCCGUGCUUGAGGACUGGAGAGGAGACUGGAAUUUACGGUGUAGCGGUGAAAUGCGUAGAUAUCGUAAGGAAGACCAGUGGCGAAGGCGGGUCUCUGGACAGUUCCUGACGCUGAGGCACGAAGGCCCAGGGGGAGCAAAACGGGG